rnacentral:tRNA from 1 species
GGAAAGGUGGCAGAGUGGUCGAUUGCAUCGGUUUUGAAAACCGACGUAACUUUGCGGUUACCGAGGGUUCGAAUCCCUCCCUUUCCG